CCAGAAUUAUGUGUUUAUCAUUUUUUUUUAUGUUUAGGUUGCCAGCAAGAUGAAAAGAAAAAUGCAGUUCAAAAGUCAAAAUGUGGAUAAGCUGCGGUACAAAGUCCUACUUUUGCAGAUUUUCAUAUUUUGCAUGAAUGAAUUUGAAGUUUAUAUCCUGGAGGGCAGAGAAAGAAAAGAAACACUUCAGUUUUCCUGCUUCUGAAGGAUAAAUGUAAAACAUCUUGUUUGAAGGAUUGGAAUUCAUCACUGAGAAUAGAAGGAGAAAACACAGAAACAAGACCAAAAUAAAUUCAAAGACAAAAGUCAGAUCAGUUAUUAUUUUCAUCACUCAGCCAAUGAAUUGCAGUUCUAUUAAAUAUCUAAAGAUAUUAAAACCACAAUAAUGACAAUGUUCUGUGCUGAAUGGCAAAAAAGUGGACUAUACAUUACGAUCACACAAUGCUGGAUGAUAAGAAACUAUUAAUUUUUUGGGUGGAGGGAUAUCCUGAAAAAAAAAUAGAUUUAUGUAAAAAGCUACUAGUAUGUUAAGCCUAUUAAUAGAGUUUUCAUUGAUUUCAAAUGGGAAAAAAUUGUGUUUCAAAAAAGUGUUCUAGAAUUCAUAAAUAAACAUAUAUUGAUACUUACA